GGGGAAUAUUGCACAAUGGGGGAAACCCUGAUGCAGCGACGCCGCGUGAGCGAUGAAGUAUUUCGGUAUGUAAAGCUCUAUCAGCAGGGAAGAAAAUGACGGUACCUGACUAAGAAGCACCGGCUAAAUACGUGCCAGCAGCCGCGGUAAUACGUAUGGUGCAAGCGUUAUCCGGAUUUACUGGGUGUAAAGGGAGCGUAGACGGAGUGGCAAGUCUGAUGUGAAAACCCGGGGCUCAACCCCGGGACUGCAUUGGAAACUGUCAAUCUAGAGUACCGGAGAGGUAAGCGGAAUUCCUAGUGUAGCGGUGAAAUGCGUAGAUAUUAGGAGGAACACCAGUGGCGAAGGCGGCUUACUGGACGGUAACUGACGUUGAGGCUCGAAAGCGUGGGGAGCAAAC
rnacentral:rRNA from 1 species